ACAGAAAUAAUAAUAAUAAUAAUAAUAAUAAUAAUAACAACAAAAUAAUUUACAUACAGUGUUUUUUACCCAUUCAACUAAAAAAGGCAAACAAACAAAUAAUUAAGUGAAUGAAUUACACUGAAAAGAAUUGUAAAAAAAAUGCCUUGUUGCAAUCAAAAUAGUUUUUCAUUAAGUAUACAUAUUAAGUUAAUUGAAUGAACUACUGUACGCUGAAAAGAAUUGAGUAGAAACUAUUUUCACUCAGAAAAUGGAUUCGACUAAACAUGAAAGUCUGAAGUAGAAAGACUGAAAUAUAUAUAAAUAAUUUUUACAGUCUUUUUUUUUUUCUGUCAAUGCAACAAUUUUUUGGUCAUUACUGAACUUACUGAACCAUAUUAAAUAUUUCUGCUGUAUGCUAUGGCUUAGUGAAUUAUUAUACAAAACAUAACAUCAACACUUGGACCGAUAACUUCAUUGUUUUAAUAUUUUGGUACAAACUUUCUGAGCCAAUUGUUCUUGUAGUGUGUGAAUGCAUGGAACAUUUAUUUCUAAUAAUUGUGAAAAACAACACUUACAAGCCCAGUGAGUUCCCUGUGCUGUCAUUUCACAUAAAAACACAGCUCUUCUCGCAGAAGCAAACACGUCGUCUGUUCUGUGGGAUAACGAAGUCUGCUGGGACUGUGGGUAGGAUGGUGUGCUUUCAAACGGUAAGUGGAUAGAGCUUAGGGGAGUGUUAGCAAUGCAGAGAAGCUUUGGCCUCAAGAUGAGCCACUCCACUGGACACCACAUACACAGAUCAGUCCACCUGCUGCCAGCAUUCUCAAUAACAGAUAAGAGCCUAUCUCUACAAACCAGAUACACAAGUCAUUUAACAUAUAAGGUGGUGGGCUGCAGAUUAUUAUUAUUAUUAUUAUUAUUGUGGCAAUCUGUCUGAGCAGCAUUUAGCAAAACUUACCACUUGCACUUUAUAGUAAAAAUUCAUUCCAUCCAUCACAGACUUCUACAAAUUGAGCCAAGUGGAAAUUUUUCCAGCCUCCAUAUGUUGGAGUUAAUGAAGCUCCUCAGGACUGUUCUGUUUGCGUUGACGCUGGGAAACUUUCUGCAAAAUUACAAAAAAGAUGUUGCAUCAUUUAAAAUAUGCUUAUUGCCUACGUAAAUAUACAAGCACAAUGGACAUAAAAAUAAAAACAAUAUUGGGUACUGAUUUACA
ensembl:lncRNA